rnacentral:rRNA from 1 species
UUCCCUUCGGGGAGCGAGUAGAGUGGCGCACGGGUGAGUAACACGUAGGUAAUCUACCUUUGGAUUGGGAAUAACAACCGGAAACGGUUGCUAAUACCGAAUAAUGCAGCGGCACCUGAUGGUGACAGUUGUUAAAGCGGGGGAUCGCAAGACCUCGCGUCUAAAGAGGAGCCUGCGGCGGAUUAGCUAGUUGGUAAGGUAAUGGCUUACCAAGGCUAUGAUCCGUAGCCGGCCUGAGAGGGCGGUCGGCCACUGACACUGACAUACGGGUCAGACUCCUACGGGAGGCAGCAGUCGGGAAUUUUGGGCAAUGGGCGAAAGCCUGACCCAGCAACGCCGCGUGAAGGAUGAAAUCCUUCGGGAUGUAAACUUCGCAAGAACGGGAAGAAUAAGUAAGAGCUAACAUCUCUUAUGAUGACGGUACUGUUUGUAAGCUCCGGCUAACUCCGUGCCAGCAGCCGCGGUAAUACGGGGGGAGCAAGCGUUGUUCGGAUUUACUGGGCGUAAAGGGCGCGUAGGCGGCCACCGCAAGUCGAUUGUGAAAUCUCCGGGCUUAACCCGGAAAGGUCAACCGAUACUGCGGGGCUAGAGUGCAGAAGGGGCAACUGGAAUUCUCGGUGUAGCGGUGAAAUGCGUAGAUAUCGAGAGGAACACCUGCGGCGAAGGCGGGUUGCUGGGCUGACACUGACGCUGAAGUGCGAAAGCUAGGGGAGCGAACGGGAUUAGAUACCCCGGUAGUCCUAGCCUUAAACGAUGAAUGCUUGGUGUCU